rnacentral:rRNA from 1 species
UGGGGAAUAUUGCACAAUGGGCGCAAGCCUGAUGCAGCCAUGCCGCGUGUGUGAAGAAGGCCUUCGGGUUGUAAAGCACUUUCAGCGGGGAGGAAGGCGGUGAGGUUAAUAACCUCAUCGAUUGACGUUACCCGCAGAAGAAGCACCGGCUAACUCCGUGCCAGCAGCCGCGGUAAUACGGAGGGUGCAAGCGUUAAUCGGAAUUACUGGGCGUAAAGCGCACGCAGGCGGUCUGUCAAGUCGGAUGUGAAAUCCCCGGGCUCAACCUGGGAACUGCAUUCGAAACUGGCAGGCUAGAGUCUUGUAGAGGGGGGUAGAAUUCCAGGUGUAGCGGUGAAAUGCGUAGAGAUGUGGAGGAAUACCGGUGGCGAAGGCGGCCCCCUGGACAAAGACUGACGCUCAGGUGCGAAAGCGUGGGGAGCAAACAGG